GUAACUUUCUUCAGAAGCUGGGUAAGCAGAGCAUGCCUCGUUUUUACGUACUUUCAACAUAAUCUUCCAAGUAAAGCAUCCUUUUCUGCUGGCGCUUCGUUACCUGACGAUUGUGUAGUAUUAAGGAUUAAAGAAAGUUAGGAUUCUUUCUCUUGGUCUUUAUUAACAAUAU